CGUUAUGUCUGGCUCAGGAAAAAGGGGAAAGAAUGAGAGCUUAUUUCUAGAAAGGUUUCCGAUGAGCAGCAUUUGUCAUUGAAGGGGAAGAUGGGUAUAAUUAGCUUGUCAGUCUAGUUGGGGCUGAGCAGGCUGUCUCUGCUAAAAAAGAUGGACUAACUGCCAGAGCCACUGACAGGCAGUCGAUAGCACAGCAAUUAAUGUCAUAAAUAAUUCCAGAACCAAUUACAUCAAAAUGGACUCGGAGCUUUAAAAAGGUCCAGCACUGGUCUUGUGGGUUCGGAGGAGGCGGCUCCGGAACCUCCAUAGACUCAAGGGAGCUCCGUGCUGUUGAAGAGUUGGAGAUGGUGGAAAUCUAGGAUAGGUGUUGUGAAGAACAAGAGCCAAGUUUGAUGAGGCCAUCAGGGACCAGGUUCUCAUGCUGCUUUGCAAAGAGAAUGUAUAACAGGAUUUGUACAGAUAUCAUAGAUGUGGUCAGAGACUCUUUGAUUGCUGUAGCUGCUGGAACACCAAAACUAUGGGAGAAUUUUUAUCCAAAUAAAUGUAUAAAGACUGACUGUGGUUGCACAGUGACCUUACUCUAAAAGCUUUCAUUGCUUCCCUCCAUCCUACCAUUUUAUUGUGGAAAGAAUAUUGGAGUCACUGGGACAAUUUAUUGUUCUCAUACAUUCCUGGUAUGUAUAUCUUGCCUAAAUGUUGGGCUGGCAUUUCUGUUUUUAUCUCUGUGAAUGAGGGAGUGAGGGAUAAGUCAUACCUUAUGACUCCUCAUCUCUCCUGUGAGUGAUGAUGACAACAGGGUGAGUCAUCAUAUAUUACACACACAACGUAUUUUUCUUCCUCUCCCUUGAGAAGGGCUGCAAAUGCUGAAGAUGACAGUUAAGGAAGAUGAAAACUCCAUAAAAGAACAAAACAUUUUAAAAUGUGUAUGAAGACUCAGAAGAGCCUGAAGAGUCAAAGUAAUCGUGAGAAAGAAAAAUGGCGCUGAGGAAUCAGGAAUCCUGACUUCAGUAUUCCAAACAGUGUGGCGCUGGGACAAAACCUAAAUAGUGGUCAAUGGAACAGGAUGGGAAGCCCAGAAGUAAUCCCGUGUGCCUGUGGUCAAUUAAUCUGUGACAAAGGAAACAAGAAUAUACAAUGGAGAAAAGACAGUUUCUUCAGUAGAUGCUGCUGGAAAAACUAAACAGCCACGUGUAAAGAAUGAAACUAGAACACUCCCUGACACCAUACGCAGACGUAAACUCAGAAUGGAUUUAAGACCUAGAUGUAAGGCUGGACACUGUAAAACUCCUAGACGAAAACAUAGGAAGGACUCUUUUUGACAUAAAUCAC
ensembl:lncRNA